ACCUUAUUAAACUGCUAUUGCUAACACGUUAGCAAACAAUUGUCUACUUACACGUCCAGUAUAUGUUUCCAUGCCAGGCUGUGUUCACUGGGAUCCAAACCCUCAGUGUGAUUCAGGGUCCAGGUCCAGGUCCAGUGAGCUCAUCAGAUAUUCUCCUCCAUCCAUCCAUCCUGAGUUGAAGAUGUAACUCCGGGGAGAGUUCUCUCUUCCUCACUGAGCCAUCACUAGAUCUUCUUUUUUCUGUUCUGGCUUCAGAGCAACGGGGGAAGAGAGCGCUCCGCCAAAUAGCCCAGUGGAGGCGCAUUAAGAACGCUUGACUGGGCGUUUGGGAGGAACCUCCAGUCCUGGCGGCAAGAGACUCUAUCUGACGAAGGUGGAGAGGAAAUCUCCCGUCUGCAGAGUGUUGUGUAACCACAGAAUAUA